AUUGAACGCUAGCGGCAGGCUUAACACAUGCAAGUCGAGGGGUAGAAGGAGCUUGCUCCUUUGAGACCGGCGCACGGGUGCGUAACGCGUAUGCAAUCUACCUUUUGCAGAGGAUAGCCCAGAGAAAUUUGGAUUAAUACCUCAUAGUAUGUGAGGAUGGCAUCAUUUUCACAUUAAAGUCACAACGGCAAAAGAUGAGCAUGCGUCCCAUUAGCUAGAUGGUAAGGUAACGGCUUACCAUGGCUACGAUGGGUAGGGGUCCUGAGAGGGAGAUCCCCCCACACCUGGUACUGAGACAC
rnacentral:rRNA from 1 species